UCGUGCAGUGCGGCCAGGAGUUGUCGUGGGCCUCGUUCCCGACGGUAGACGUCAAGCCUCUCGUACCGGAAGUCCCAGCUGAGAAGGCAGCAAAGGCCCCGCGACGUUGGUUGUAGACGUUCUGGCAGUUGAGAGGCAUCCUCUUUCGUAACACAGUCGUGUGUUCGAAGAUUCUGCUCGUGAGUAGUUUGUUUCCGGUCCGCCGCUCGUUCCGCAUUUGUCGUCGAUGCGUGUGCAUACUCUUUGCGUCGGGUAACAGUGCAGCGGCGAUACCCCUUGCGCUGAGAGAGGCAGGCCGGCAGCGUUUCGACUGAUCCCGAACAUCUUGUCGGCGGAAGUUGGUCAAUGUGUCGCUGUGCCCGCUGGGAUGAGAGCCAGUGUCGGAGAUCCUUUGGCUGCUUCCGUUUCGCUGUGAUCCAGAGUCUUAAAUCAUCCUCUUGGUCCCGUUGAUCGCUUCUUGCUGUCGGUAAUGCUGUGUUUCAAGGCUGCCUCCGCCUGGAUGCUGAAGAAUGGGGACGUCACACUGGCUGAAUUCGUGGUUGGUUUCACAAACCGGAAGUUCAUGCUGUGCUGUUUCUGCUGAAGUAUGCUGUUGAGCCGGCGCUACGUUUGAAGUGUCCGUAUUUCUUGGGUGAUGAUUCGUUCGAGGAAAAAUUCUUGAUACGCAGUU